rnacentral:rRNA from 1 species
UGAGUACGAGCUGCUACGGCAGCGAAGUGGGUGAUGUCAAGCUUCCAAGAAAAGCCCUAUACCCGUUAAGGCAUGACGGCCUGUACCCGAAACCGACACAGGUGGGGUGGUAGAGAAUACCGAGGGGCGCGAGAUAACUCUCUCUAAGGAACUCGGCAAAAUGGCCCCGUAACUUCGGGAGAAGGGGUGCCACCGCAAGGUGGUCGCAGUGAAGAGGCCCAGGCGACUGUUUACCAAAAACACAGGUCUCCGCUAAGUCGCAAGACGAUGUAUGGGGGCUGACGCCUGCCCAGUGCCGGAAGGUUAAGGAAGCUGGUCAGCGCAAGCGAAGCUGGCGACUGAAGCCCCGGUGAACGGCGGCCGUAACUAUAACGGUCCUAAGGUAGCGAAAUUCCUUGUCGGGUAAGUUCCGACCCGCACGAAAGGCGUAACGAUCUGGGCGCUGUCUCGGAGAGAGGCUCGGCGAAAUAGAAUUGUCUGUGAAGAUGCGGACUACGUGCACCCGGACAGAAAGACCCUAUGAAGCUUUACUGUAGCUUGGUAUUGUGCCCGGGCUCUGAAUGCGCAGGAUAGGUGGGAGGCUUUGAUCCAUUGCUUGCGGGUGAUGGUGAGCCAACGGUGAGAUACCACUCUUUCAGAGCUAGGGUUCUAACGGUCACCCGCUAUCCGGGGACCGGACAGUAUCAGGUGGGCAGUUUGACUGGGGCGGUCGCCUCCUAAAGGGUAACGGAGGCGCGCAAAGGUUCCCUCAGGCUGGUUGGAAAUCAGCCGACGAGUGUAAAGGCAGAAGGGAGCUUGACUGUGAGACCUACAAGUCGAACAGGGACGAAAGUCGGCCUUAGUGAUCCGACGGUUCUGAGUGGAAGGGCCGUCGCUCAACGGAUAAAAGUUACUCUAAGGAUAACAGGCUGAUCUCCCCCAAGAGUUCACAUCGACGGGGAGGUUUGGCACCUCGAUGUCGGCUCAUCGCAACCUGGGGCUGAAGUCGGUCCCAAGGGUUGGGCUGUUCGCCCAUUAAAGCGGUACGCGAGCUGGGUUCAGAACGUCGUGAGACAGUUCGGUCCAUAUCCGGUGCAUGCGCAGGAACAUUGAGAGGAUUUCUCCCUAGUACGAGAGGACCGGGAGGAACGCACCUCUGGUGUGCCAGUUAUCGUGCCAACGGUAAACGCUGGGUAGCCAUGUGCGGAGCGGAUAACCGCUGAAAGCAUCUAAGUGGGAAGCCCACCUCAAGAUGAGUGUUCCCAUGGCAUAAGCCAGUAAGGUCACGGGAAGAACACCCGUUGAUAGGCUCUACGUGGAAGCGUGGUAACACGUGAAGCGGAGGAGUACUAAUAGACCGAGGGCUUGACC